rnacentral:rRNA from 1 species
UGGGGAAUAUUGGACAAUGGGCGAAAGCCUGAUCCAGCCAUGCCGCGUGAGUGGCGAAGGCCUUAGGGUUGUAAAACUCUUUCGUCGGGGACGAUAAUGACGGUACCCGAAGAAGAAGCUCCGGCUAACUUCGUGCCAGCAGCCGCGGUAAUACGAAGGGAGCUAGCGUUGUUCGGAAUCACUGGGCGUAAAGCGCACGUAGGCGGAUAGUUAAGUCAGGGGUGAAAUCCUGGGGCUCAACCCCAGAACUGCCUUUGAUACUGGCUGUCUCGAGGUCGAGAGAGGUUGGUGGAAUUCCUAGUGUAGAGGUGAAAUUCGUAGAUAUUAGGAAGAACACCAGUGGCGAAGGCGGCCAACUGGCUCGAUACUGACGCUGAGGUGCGAAAGCGUGGGGAGCAAACAGGAUUAGAUACCCAGGUAGUCCCUGAGCGGGCUGGCAAGGCGCAU